UUAAAGAGUGCGUAAUAGCUCACUAGUCGAGUGACACUGCGCCGAAAAUGUACCGGGGCUAAACAUAUUACCGAAGCUGUGGAUUGUCCGUAGGACAAUGGUAGGAGAGCGUUCUAAGGGCGUCGAAGCAUGAUCGCAAGGACAUGUGGAGCGCUUAGAAGUGAGAAUGCCGGUGUGAGUAGCGAAAGACGGGUGAGAAUCCCGUCCACCGAUUGACUAAGGUUUCCAGAGGAAGGCUCGUCCGCUCUGGGUUAGUCGGGUCCUAAGCUGAGGCCGACAGGCGUAGGCGAUGGAUAACAGGUUGAUAUUCCUGUACCACCUAGUAUCGUUUUAAUCGAUGGGGGGACGCAGUAGGAUAGGCGAAGCGUGCUGUUGGAGUGCACGUCCAAGCAGUAA
rnacentral:rRNA from 14 species